rnacentral:rRNA from 1 species
GGAAUAUUGCACAAUGGGGGGAACCCUGAUGCAGCGACGCCGCGUGGGUGAAGGAGCACCUCGGUGCGUAAAGCCCUAUCGGCAGGGAAGAAACAGACGGUACCUGACUAAGAAGCCCCGGCUAACUACGUGCCAGCAGCCGCGGUAAUACGUAGGGGGCAAGCGUUAUCCGGAUUCACUGGGUGUAAAGGGAGCGUAGACGGCGACGCAAGUCUGGAGUGAAAGCCCGGGGCCCAACCCCGGGACUGCUCUGGAAACUGCGUCGCUGGAGUACGGGAGGGGCAGGCGGAAUUCCUGGUGUAGCGGUGAAAUGCGUAGAUAUCAGGAGGAACACCGGCGGCGAAGGCGGCCUGCUGGACCGUGACUGACGUUGAGGCUCGAGAGCGUGGGGAGCAAACA